rnacentral:rRNA from 1 species
AGUGAACGCUGGCGGUAGGCCUAACACAUGCAAGUCGAACGGCAGCACAGUAAGAGCUUGCUCUUACGGGUGGCGAGUGGCGGACGGGUGAGGAAUACAUCGGAAUCUACUUUUUCGUGGGGGAUAACGUAGGGAAACUUACGCUAAUACCGCAUACGACCUACGGGUGAAAGCAGGGGAUCUUCGGACCUUGCGCGAUUGAAUGAGCCGAUGUCGGAUUAGCUAGUUGGCGGGGUUAAGGCCCACCAAGGCGCCGAUCCGUAGCUGGUCUGAGAGGAUGAUCCACCAAAACGGGACCUAGACACAGUCCCAACUCCUACGGGAGGGCACAGUUGGGGAAAUUUGAACAAUGGGGCAAAGCCGAUCCAGGCCAACCGGGGGGGUGAAGAAGGCCUUCGGGUUGUAAAGCCCUUUUGUUGGGAAAGAAAAGCAGCAGGUUAAUACCCCGCUGUUUUGACGGUACCCAAAGAAUAAGCACCGGCUAACUUCGUG